rnacentral:rRNA from 1 species
CGGAAUACAAGUCCAUUGGAAUGUGGCAUUUAAACUAGGCCAAGGAGGGUGAGAGCCCCGUAGUGAUUCCGAGCAAGUGCUGUCCGUGCCACAGUGGUCGCUUUGAUGAGUCGGGUUGCUUGGGAUUGCAGCCCUAAUUGGGUGGUAAAUUUCAUCUAAAGCUAAAUAUGGGUGGGAGACCGAUAGCGAACAAGUAGUGUGAACGAAAGCUGAAAAGAACUUUGAAAGGAGAGUCAAAAGUGCUUGAAAUUGCUAAGAGGGAAGUGAUAGAAU